GGUCAGUGAUGAGAUGUAAAAGGUCUGAUGUCUGGGUCUCCCAUCAGUCUCUCUUCCCCUCCCAGCACCCCCUGCACAUUUCCCAGCAUGCUCUAGUCGUGCGUUGCUGGUUUGAGGUGGCAGCUGAUAUUCUGGACGUUUCUGCUCUAUGUAAGAGUCUCUUAGAGAAUAAAGUGAGAUCUCAACAGCAGCGUCCGACAUCAUCACAACACACACGAGGGUGAGACUGAUGGAGAACAUAAAACCAGCACGUGAUCUCAAGUUUUCAAGCUGAGACC